AUUGAACGCUGGCGGCAUGCUUUACACAUGCAAGUCGAACGGUAACAGGCCGCAAGGUGCUGACGAGUGGCGAACGGGUGAGUAAUGCAUCGGAACGUGCCCAGUCGUGGGGGAUAACGCAGCGAAAGCUGUGCUAAUACCGAAUACGAUCUAUGGAUGAAAGCGGGGGACCGUAAGGCCUCGCGCGAUUGGAGCGGCCGAUGUCAGAUUAGGUAGUUGGUGGGGUAAGGGCCUACCAAGCCGACGAUCUGUAGCUGGUCUGAGAGGACGACAGCCCACACUCGGCCUGAGACACGUCCCAGAGUCCUACGGGAAGCAGCAGUGGGGAAAUUUGGACAAUGGGCGCAAGCCUGAUCCAGCCAUGCCGCGUGCAGGAAGAAGGCAUUCGGGUUGUAAACUGCUUUUGUACGGAACGAAACGGUCUGGGUUAAUACCCUGGGCUAAUGACGGUACCGUAAGAAUAAGCACCGGCUAACUACGUGCCAGCCGCCGCAGUAAAAC
rnacentral:rRNA from 1 species